rnacentral:rRNA from 1 species
GACAGAGGUCUCGAGCGUUAGGCGGAAUCACUGGGCUUAAAGCGUGUGUAGGUGGAUGCCUAAGUACCUUGUGAAAUCCCACGGCUUAACCGUGGAACUGCUUGGUAUACUGGGUGUCUUGAGCCAGCUAGGGGCUACCGGAACAAAUGGUGGAGCGGUGAAAUGCGUAGAUAUCAUUUGGAACGCCAAUGGUGAAAACAGGUAGCUGGGGCUGUGCUGACACUGGAGACACGAAAGCCAGGGGAGCGAACGGG